rnacentral:rRNA from 1 species
GGCGGCGUGCCUAAUACAUGCAAGUCGAGCGAACAGAUAAGGAGCUUGCUCCUUUGACGUUAGCGGCGGACGGGUGAGUAACACGUGGAUAACCUACCUAUAAGACUGGGAUAACUUCGGGAAACCGGAGCUAAUACCGGAUAACAUAUUGAACCGCAUGGUUCAAUAGUGAAAGGCGGCUUUGCUGUCACUUAUAGAUGGAUCCGCGCCGUAUUAGCUAGUUGGUAAGGUAACGGCUUACCAAGGCAACGAUACGUAGCCGACCUGAGAGGGUGAUCGGCCACACUGGAACUGAGACACGGUCCAGACUCCUACGGGAGGCAGCAGUAGGGAAUCUUCCGCAAUGGGCGAAAGCCUGACGGAGCAACGCCGCGUGAGUGAUGAAGGUCUUCGGAUCGUAAAACUCUGUUAUCAGGGAAGAACAAAUGUGUAAGUAACUGUGCACAUCUUGACGGUACCUGAUCAGAAAGCCACGGCUAACUACGUGCCAGCAGCCGCGGUAAUACGUAGGUGGCAAGCGUUAUCCGGAAUUAUUGGGCGUAAAGCGC